GCUUCUCCAAAGAAUGUGCUAUGUGGAAAUAUAAAUAACAAGAGUAACGAAAUAUUUUCUAACAUUUACUAUUGGGUUGACUAUUUUUUUGCAAAUAGCACAGAAAUAGUUGAAGAAAUUAAUGAACUACUUAAUAAUACAAGGGAAUUGGUUAUAGAGGCCAUGACUCUAAG